rnacentral:rRNA from 1 species
GAUGAACGCUGGCGGCGUGCUUAACACAUGCAAGUCGAACGAAGCACUUUAUUUGAUUUCCUUCGGGACUGAUUAUUUUGUGACUGAGUGGCGGACGGGUGAGUAACGCGUGGGUAACCUGCCUUGUACAGGGGGAUAACAGUUGGAAACGGCUGCUAAUACCGCAUAAGCGCACGGCAUCGCAUGAUGCAGUGUGAAAAACUCCGGUGGUAUAAGAUGGACCCGCGUUGGAUUAGCUAGUUGGUGGGGUAACGGCCCACCAAGGCGACGAUCCGUAGCCGACCUGAGAGGGUGACCGGCCACAUUGGGACUGAGACACGGCCCAAACUCCUACGGGAGGCAGCAGUGGGGAAUAUUGCACAAUGGGCGAAAGCCUGAUGCAGCGACGCCGCGUGAGCGAAGAAGUAUUUCGGUAUGUAAAGCUCCAUCAGCAGGGAAGAUAAUGACGGUAC